AGCGAACGCUGGCGGCAGGCCUAACACAUGCAAGUCGAACGAACCUUUCGGGGUUAGUGGCGGACGGGGGAGUAACACGUGGGAACGUGCCCUUAGGUUCGGAAUAACUCAGGGAAACUUGUGCUAAUACCGAAUGUGCCCUUCCGGGGAAAGAUGUAUCGCCUUUAGAGCGGCCCGCGUCUGAUUAGCCGGUUGGUUGAGGUAAUGGCGCACCAAGGCGACUAUCAGUGGCUGGGGUGAGAGGAGGAUCAGCCACAUUGGGACUGAGACACGGCCCAAACGCCUAGGGGAGGCAGCAGAGGGGAAUCAUGGGCAAGGAGCGAAAGGCUGACGCAGCCAUGCCGCGUGAAUGGUGAACGUGUUAGGAACGUAAAAUUCUUUCACCGGGGACGAUGAGAACGGAACCCGGAGAAGAAGCCCCGGCUAACUUCGU
rnacentral:rRNA from 1 species